ACUCCUACGGGAGGCAGCAGUGGGAAUAUUGCACAAUGGGCGAAAGCCUGAUGCAGCAAUGCCGCGUGUGUGAAGAAGGCCUGCGGGUUGUAAAGCACUUUUAUCGGGAAAGAAAACCAGGGCUAAUACCCUUGGUCUUGACGGUACCCGUUGAAUAAGCACCGGCUAACUCCGUGCCAGCAGCCGCGGUAAUACGGAGGGUGCGAGCGUUAUCCGGAUUUAUUGGGUUUAAAGGGUCCGUAGGCGGGUUAAUAAGUCAGUGGUGAAAUCCCAUCGCUUAACGAUGGAACUGCCAUUGAUACUGUUAGUCUUGAAUGAGGGGUGCAGUGGUUGGAAUGUGUAGUGUAGCGGUGAAAUGCAUAGAUAUUACACAGAACACCGAUUGCGAAGGCAGAUCACUAACCCCUAAAAUUGACGCUGAGGGGACGAAAGCGUGGGGGAGCGAACAGGAUUAGAUACCCUGGUAGGGCUCUGCU
rnacentral:rRNA from 1 species